UAAAGGUUCAGCGGUGACGGAUGGGGAUGCGUCCGAUUAGGUAGUAGGCGGGGUAACGGCCCACCUAGCCAUCGAUCGGUAGGGGUUCUGAGAGGAAGGUCCCCCACACUGGAACUGAGACACGGUCCAGACUCCUACGGGAGGCAGCAGUGAGGAAUAUUGGUCAAUGGAGGCAACUCUGAACCAGCCAAGUAGCGUGCAGGAUGACGGCCCUAUGGGUUGUAAACUGCUUUUAUGCGGGGAUAAACUGAGCCACGUGUGGCUUAUUGCAGGUACCGCAUGAAUAAGGACCGGCUAAUUCCGUGCCAGCAGCCGCGGUAAUACGGAAGGUCCGGGCGUUAUCCGGAUUUAUUGGGUUUAAAGGGAGCGCAGGCCGCCCCUUAAGCGUGUUGUGAAAUGCCGCGGCUCGACCGUGGCACUGCAGCGCGAACUGGGGGGCUUGAGUGCGCCGGAGGUAGGCGGAAUUCGUGGUGUAGCGGUGAAAUGCUUAGAUAUCACGAAGAACUCCGAUUGCGAAGGCAGCCUACCGUAGCGUUACUGACGCUGAGGCUCGAAGGUGCGGGUAUCGAACAGGAUUAGAUACCCUGGUAGUCCGCACGGUAAACGAUGGAUGCCCGC
rnacentral:rRNA from 1 species